rnacentral:rRNA from 1 species
AGCGAACGCUGGCGGCAGGCCUAACACAUGCAAGUCGAACGAACUCUUCGGAGUUAGUGGCGGACGGGUGAGUAACACGUGGGAACGUGCCUUUAGGUUCGGAAUAACUCAGGGAAACUUGUGCUAAUACCGAAUGUGCCCUUCGGGGGAAAGAUUUAUCGCCUUUAGAGCGGCCCGCGUCUGAUUAGCUAGUUGGUGAGGUAAAGGCUCACCAAGGCGACGAUCAGUAGCUGGUCUGAGAGGAUGAGCAGCCACAGUGGGACUGAGACACGGCCCAAACUCCUACGGGAGGCAGCAGUGGGGAAUCUUGCGCAAUGGGCGAAAGCCUGACGCAGCCAUGCCGCGUGAAUGAUGAAGGUCUUAGGAUUGUAAAAUUCUUUCACCGGGGACGAUAAUGACGGUACCCGGAGAAGAAGCCCCGGCUAACUUCGUG